AUUGAACGCUGGCGGCAGGCUUAACACAUGCAAGUCGAGCGGUAGCACAGGGGAGCUUGCUCCCUGGGUGACGAGCGGCGGACGGGUGAGUAAUGUCUGGGAAACUGCCUGAUGGAGGGGGAUAACUACUGGAAACGGUAGCUAAUACCGCAUAACGUCGCAAGACCAAAGAGGGGGACCUUCGGGCCUCUUGCCAUCAGAUGUGCCCAGAUGGGAUUAGCUAGUAGGUGGGGUAACGGCUCACCUAGGCGACGAUCCCUAGCUGGUCUGAGAGGAUGACCAGCAACACUGGAACUGAGACACGGUCCAGACUCCUACGGGAGGCAGCAGUGGGGAAUAUUGCACAAUGGGCGCAAGCCUGAUGCAGCCAUGCCGCGUGUGUGAAGAAGGCCUUCGGGUUGUAAAGCACUUUCAGCGAGGAGGAAGGUGGCGAGCUUAAUACGUUCAUCAAUUGACGUUACUCGCAGAAGAAGCACCGGCUAACUCCGUG
rnacentral:rRNA from 1 species